rnacentral:misc_RNA from 1 species
UUCCAUAGUGGGCAUGGGAGGACUAGGUAAAACCACUCUCGCCAAGAAAGUAUACAAUAACACUCAUGUGAAGCAACACUUUGAUCGCUAUUCUUGGGUCUUCAUAUCUCAGCAAUACAGCAUCAAAGAUGUUAUGGUUGGAAUCCUUGUGGAUGUUGCAUCUAGCGAGGAUAAAUCACAGUUAUUGGAAAGAAUGAAAGAGGAACGACCACUUGAAUUCCGUGUUGGAAAAGAUGAGGGAGGAAGAACAGCUCAAAUCUUUCUUGGCAACGAUGACUGAGGACGAGCUGGUUAAAACAGUCCAUCGUAUUUUGGAGGAGAAGCGUUACUUGGUG